ACAAGCAAUAUAUUACAGUUAAAAACAAUUGGCGCGCAUUUUUUGCGGCGUGAGAGCGACUGCUGAAAAGUUUAGCCUGUUGCCUCGUGAAGUGACGUCAGAAUGACGUCCCAUUGUCGCGGAAGAUUUGUUGUCACCAGCCAUCUUAGUUCAAGCUCACUCUGGACAUAUUACAACCAAGUGACUGUGCAGCAACUGGAACUGGACAGAUGAUCUGUGAAUUCGGAUGAGCAAGGGGGAAAAUGUUACACGACCAUUCCAGGAGAUAAAAUCAAGAAUGUUGAAUCAUUGAGGAACACACCAAAUAAACCCUGGGCUGUGAGUUAUGUUAACGGAAGUGGAAGUGAACAUCAAAGAAAGAAGAUUCUGGCAUUCAAUAAUUUCGAAAAGUGUAUAAAUUUUCAAUUAUCUAAAAAUAUUAAAAUGUCAA
rnacentral:lncRNA from 1 species